UCAUACAAUGGAGGUGCGAGGGCUGUCGCUGACCCUCGACGGUCGUGCACGCCCGAGCACUCUCACACAUCCAUCCUCACCCCUUUGUGCAUCACCGCAUGGGUUCCCUUGGAACAACCGGGGGGGCCCAUGUUUUUUCACACAAACAUCAAAGUAGCGUAGAAUGUAUUUUCUUUUUGCGGUGAUACGCAAUCAAUA
rnacentral:misc_RNA from 1 species